rnacentral:rRNA from 1 species
AUGUUCCUGUUAGCCAGCAAUUCUCACGACAACAUCAUCAAAGUUGUAGACCUCAUCCAGUGGGAAGACGCCAUCAUGCUUGUCUAUGAGUAUCCGGUGAAUGGCAGCCUUCAAUCCUGGCUGCACCAACCCAUGGAUGCUGGUCGGCCGCUGAGCUGGCCAGUGAGGAGGCUCAUUGCCAUCGGCGUGGCCAAAGGACUCUGCCACAUGCACCACAGAUGCAAAAGACCGAUUAUCCACAACAACAUCAACUCGAACAACAUCUUGCUUGAUCAGAAUUUCAAGCCUGUAAUAGCCAGUUUUGACGCUGCACAGAUGAAUAUGGCCGGGCUCGACCAACCGUUGCCAAUGGUUGGCCUGCCUCUUGGUAACUUUGGGUACGCAGCUCCGGAAUAUGGGGUGGCAGCAAGCGAGCUGACGGAGAAGGUUGACACUUACAGCUUUGGGGUGCUCAUGCUGGAGCUUGUCACGGGGCGGAUGGCCAAUGAAGCUGGAGCCGAUGGUCAUUUGGCGACCUGGGCGUGGAAGAACUUCACUAAGCUGAUGGCAAACCAACAGGAAAUGUUCCAGAGUGCCGUGGACAGGGACAUCCCAGAUCAAGCGCGGUACAUGAAGGAGAUGGCAACUGUGUUCAUGCUGGGCGUGGAUUGCACCGUUGGGAAUCCGCAGCAAAGGCCGUCCAUGCGGAUGGCUCUCAAACGACUGCGCCGCGGCUGUGGCCGUGGCCCAUUCCGUGGCCUCCUCACCUGCUAUCUGCUGUGA